GCUUGUAGCUCAGGUGGUUAGAGCGCACCCCUGAUAAGGGUGAGGUCGGUGGUUCAAGUCCACUCAGGU
rnacentral:tRNA from 1 species